rnacentral:rRNA from 1 species
UACGUAGGGGGCUAGCGUUAUCCGGAUUUACUGGGCGUAAAGGGUGCGUAGGCGGGGAUGCAGGUCAGAUGUGAAAUCCCGCGGCUCAACCGCGGAACUGCAUCUGAAACUGCGUCUCUUGAGUGUCGGAAGGGAAAGUGGAAUUCCUAGUGUAGCGGUGAAAUGCGUAGAUAUUAGGAGGAACACCGGUGGCGAAGGCGACUUUCUGGACGAUAACUGACGCUGAGACGCGAAAGCGUGGGGAGCAAACAGGAUUAGAUACCCCCGUAGUCCCUGA